UUUUGUUAUAUAUUUUACAUGUUAAUGGUAAAACCCUUUUAUUUAGACAGAAAAGAGGAGAUGAUGGGGGAGGUCCUUCUGUGUCUGUUUGUCUUAUUGGUUGAUAAAUAAAGUACUGUUGGCCAAUAGGGAAGUAAGGUAGGUGUGACUAGGAGUUGAGAGGGAUUCUGGGAAAUGUAGUAAAGAGAAGUUUUGUGAUCCAGGCAGGAAGUGACAUAGCAGGCAGACUCAGAAUAUAAUCAUGGACAAGCAGGAAAUCACUCUCUUCCUCCUCCUCUUCUCUGUCGUCGCCAUGUGAUCCUGAGAAGAAUGGAUGCACACCGCUAGCGCCUUCUAUAAGCCGGCUUCUGGUUUUUGUUUCAAGGAAGAACUUCAUGGAGCCCCCAUGCAAGUCUUGAAUCACGAUGUAGCUGAAUAUAACCUUGGACUCCUGAUUUUCCUGCCUCAUCUCUCCAAUGCUAGGGUCAAAGAACACCUCUUGAAAGAAGUUCCAGAAGAACUGUACAAAUGAGUUUUCUACAAAUGAGUCAUUCAUCUAAACUCAUCUGGAGGAAUCUUGCAUCAAGAUUAGCCCUCUCACUCAGGAGGCCUCACCAAUGCUAAGAAGAAUCUGUGAUGUGAGAUGUUUAGUAACAAUGCCUUACUUGUCAAUUAGCUGUGUGUGGGUAAGCGCUCUUUGACAAGCAUCAACACAGGCAUCAUACAAGACACUUCUCAAGCAGGAAACAUGGCAUGGAUGGAGUUCCUUGCUGUUCAAUCUCAGAGCCCAAGAGGAAAACGAGGCACUGCUUUUGCUUGGUGAGAAGAAAAGCACACUUUCACUGCACUGUCAUGAACUGUUCAAGUCAUUCAACUAGGAAGACAGGUUAGGAGAGGAGACUGUUUCAAAGCUACAUGAACGGAGCCUACUGCAUUUAUACUCUUUCUUCAGAGACAGUCCUCACAUAUGAAACAUUUCACUGGCUCCUCUGUCAUGAGAAAAUGAGUUGCAAUACUAAUUUUGUUUUAUUUUCUGAGAUAGGGCCUCGAUCUAUUGCCCAGACAGGCCUUGAAUUUGUGGCCAUCCUCUUGCCUUAAGCUCCCCAGUGCUGGUAGUACAGGCACAAAUCACCACACCUAGCCCACUGCAGUUUGCCUGUAAUCCCAACAGACUGACUUAAUAAGCCUAGGCUAUGAGAAGAUGGGUAGAACCCUAAAUGGACCUCAGAUUUUUGUUCUUAUGGUAUGUGAGGCUACAUAGUAAGAUCCUGUCUCAAACAACACACUCCUAUCCCCCAAAACAAAAAUCACAACCCAAAUACUUUACCAGUGAUUUAAUUUAACUGGAUAUGACCCUGCUCCAAAAGACUGUUUCUAGGUUCCAGUUUCUCUGGGAAAGGGAUGACCACUUCACCAAGCUCUGCAAGCCUCGGGAGGCUACCCAAAGGUGGAGUUCUGGACAUGUGCUGAACGGCACGGGGGAGGGGGGGUGGGGCGGGCAG
rnacentral:lncRNA from 1 species